ensembl:lncRNA
GGACUUUUUGAGGCUGAGUUUUAAGAGAUGUAUAUGAUAUCCCCUAUAAGGUGACACUGUACGACACGCAAUGAAGGAGGUAGCUGUGUGUCCGCAGUUGGUUCCUGCCGGUGGGUUCAUGGUCUUGCUGACUUCAAGAAUGAAGCCGUGGACCUUCGCGAUGAGUGUCACAGCUCUUAAAGAAUGUGGAAAUAUAAAUCUGCUCUGUAUAAGACUGGAUUCAGUUUACAAAAAUAAGCCUGAAACCUUUGGACUCAGGGGGCCCAGGUGGAGAGAUUCUUUCUGUUCGUUAUCUGUCCUCCUGCCUCCAGCCUGUGCCAUAGACUCCAAAUGGAUAAAAGCUCUGUAUAGAGAGGUUGUAUUACCAUGAAGUACAAUAUAUGUCAGAUUUGGGUAGAAGUGAACACAGUGGAGGAUAAUAAAGAGAGAGCUGAGUUCUGUCUCAGUGAGCACAACAAAAGUCAGAUGAACUCGUCCGAGGGCAGAAGUGGACCCCAAAGGCUUGUUCCUGCGGACUUUGCUGGUUGACUGCUCUUUGCAUUAAUCUGGAAUCAUGGCGCACCAUUCCUCUUUUCAUGUUGUGAUAUUCUCUUCACGUUCUCUUCCUUGCUCCUCAAUGCCACAUGUGUGAAUUUUCAGAAACAAAAUACUAGGAAUUUAAAGUGAGAAUACUGUAGCAACCUGUGAGAUGCACAGAAAAUCAUAAACUGUUGAAAAACUGGGAUUGGGAUUGAUUGCUGGAGGCAUAAAUUUUGUGUGUACAUCCAAAAAAUAAUGCCAUGCUCUGAGACUUAGAAUAUAGUCAUGUUGUGUGAAUUUAUGAAUUAUAUUGAGUAGAAAAUAUAUAUAUAGUCAUUUGACAUUAAGAGACAAUGAAUACAUAAGUGUUGACCAGCCUGGCCAACACAGUGAAACCCGUCUCUACCAAAAAUACAAGAAUUGGCCAGGCGUGGUGGUGGGUGCCUAUAAGCCCAGCUACUCGGGAGGUUGAGGUGGGAGAAUCUCUUGAACCCAGAGGCAGAGGUUGCAGUGAGCCGAGAUCACACCACUGCACUCCAGCCUGGGCGACAGAGCAAGACUCCAUCUCAAACAAACAAACAAACAAGCAAAAAACACAUAAAUAAAUAGUCAUAAAAGCAACAAAAAAGUGACAAUAAAAUGACACUGUUAACUGGAGCUAUUUGUAUAUGUGUUGUUGUUGUUGUUUUCCAUUUAUUGUACUUCUCUCUCUCCCUUUAAAAAAAGGUUAAAAAAAGAGAAAGGUUGAAAGAUUAUGGCCCUGCCAGACGUGGUGGCUCACACCUAUAAUCCCAGCAAUUUUGGAGGCAGAGAUGGUAGAAUCACUUGAGCGCAGGAGUUCAAGAUCAACCUGAGCAACAUAGCAAAACCUCGUCUCAGGCCAUCUGCAGUGGCUCACGCCUGUAAUCCCACCACUUUGGGAGGCCGAGGUGGGUGGAUCACUUGAGGUCAAGAAUUUGAGACCAGCCUGCUCAACAUGACAAAACCCCAUCUCUACUAAAAAUACAAAAAUUAGCCAGGUGUAGUGGCAGGCGCCUGUAAUCCCAGCUACUUGAAGGCUGAGGCAGGAGGAUCCCUUGAACCCGGGAGACAGAGGUUUCAGUGAGUCGAGAUCACGCCACUGCACUCCAACUUGGGCGACAGAGCGACAUUCCAUCUCCAAACACAAAAAAACAAAAGCACGACAACAAUAAGCUUUUGGUUUUUUCAGGAAUAAGCCAUAAAAAUUGAUCAUUCAACUGAAGGUUUUGGGUUUUUCUUUUUGAAGGAAAUCUAUUAAAGCUCUCUAAACAUGAGAAAAAUGCUCAAUAGAAAACGGAAGUGGCAGGGCACAGUGACUCUGUAAUCCCAUCACUUUGUGAGGCUGAGGCCGGCAGAUUACUUGAGGCCAGGAAUUCAAGACCAGCCUGGCCAACAUGGUGAAACCCCAUCUCUACUAAAAAUACAAUAAUUAGCCAGGCAUGGUGGCACAUGCCCAUAAUCCCAGCUACUCAGGAGGCUGAGGCAGGAAAAUCAUUUGAACCCUGAUGGCAGGUGUUGCAGUGAGCCAAGAUGGCACCAUUGCACUCCAGCCUGGGUGACAGAGCGAGACUCCCGUCUCAAGAAAAGAAAAAGAAAAAAAAAAAAAAGGAAGGGAAAAACAAAGGAAGAAAGAGAGAGAGAAAGAAAAUGGAAGUAUUGAUAGACAAAGUAGCAUCUCUGACUGAAAAGAAUAUUAAGUAACUUAGAGAAGAAAGUGGCUGCUUUAAAAAAAAAUUUUUUUGUUUUGACUCGUAUGUUGGGUGUGUUGGCUCAUGCCUGUAAUCCCAGAGCUUUGGGAGGCCGAGGCAGGAGAAUCACUUGAGCACAGGAGUUCAAGACCAGCCUGGGCAACAUAGUGAGAUCCCCUAUCUACAAGAAAGAAAGAAAGAGAAAGAAUUAGAAAGAAAUGCUGUGGGUUUAUUUUUUCCUUGUGUUCAUGUAUACAUUAUCAUCAUUAAGACUGCAAAUUGUUUUUGCUCUCUAUGCAGGAUCUAAAAAAAUUUUUAUUGCAAAUUGUAUUGGAGUGGGGUCAGAGUGAAGGAAAGCAAAAGCACUAGGAGAGCUGUCAAUAAAUGCACAGAUGUUAUCAAAAUGUGAAUUACUUGUAGGCAAUGUUGACUCAUUUUUUCAGAACAGUUGCCUUUUGGAGUACAUAUUA